AACGAACGCUGGCGGCAGGCUUAACACAUGCAAGUCGAACGCAUCCUUCGGGGUGAGUGGCAGACGGGUGAGUAACGCGUGGGAACGUGCCCUUCAGUUCGGGAUAACCCAGGGAAACUUGGGCUAAUACCGGAUACGUGCGAGAGCAGAAAGAUUUAUCGCUGAAGGAUCGGCCCGCGUCUGAUUAGCUAGUUGGUGGGGUAAUGGCCCACCAAGGCGACGAUCAGUAGUUGGUCUGAGAGGAUGAUCAGCCACAUUGGGACUGAGGCACGGCCCAAACUCCUACGGGAGGCAGCAGUGGGGAAUAUUGGACAAUGGGCGCAAGCCUGAUCCAGCCAUGCCGCGUGAGUGAUGAAGGCCUUAGGGUUGUAAAGCUCUUUCGUCCGGGACGAUAAUGACGGUACCGGAAGAAGAAGCCCCGGCUAACUUCGUGCCAGCAGCCGCGGUAA
rnacentral:rRNA from 1 species